UACGGGGGGGGCAAGCGUUGUUCGGAAUUACUGGGCGUAAAGGGCUCGUAGGUGGCCAACUAAGUCAGACGUGAAAUCCCCAGGCUCAACCUGGGAACUGCGUCUGAUACUGGAUGGCUUGAAUUCGGGAGAGGGAUGCAGAAUUCCAGGUGUAGCGGUGAAAUGCGUAGAUAUCUGGAGGAAUACCGGUGGCGAAGGCGGCAUCCUGGACCGAUAUUGACACUGAUGAGCGAAAGCCAGGGGAGCAAACGGG
rnacentral:rRNA from 1 species